UACGGAGGGUGCAAACGUUGCUCGGAAUUACUGGGCGUAAAGCGCACGUAGGCGGAUUGUUAAGUCGGGGGUGAAAUCCUGGAGCUCAACUCCAGAACUGCCUUCGAUACUGGCGAUCUCGAGUUCGGGAGAGGUGAGUGGAACUGCGAGUGUAGAGGUGAAAUUCGUAGAUAUUCGCAAGAACACCAGUGGCGAAGGCGGCUCACUGGCCCGAUACUGACGCUGAGGAGCGAAAGCGUGGGGAGCGAACGGG
rnacentral:rRNA from 1 species